rnacentral:rRNA from 1 species
UGAAGAAUUUGUCCAACGGCGGGGGAUAGCCGGCCCAACGGCCGGGUAAUACCGCGUACGACCCUCGGGGGGCAUCCCCUGAAGGUGAAAGCCGCAAGGCGCCGAUGGAGAACUUCGCGGCCUAUCAGCUAGUUGGUGAGGUCAUGGCUCACCAAGGCGACGACGGGUAGCUGGUCCGAGAGGAUGACCAGCCACAUUGGGACUGAGACACGGCCCAGACCCCGUACGGGAGGCAG